rnacentral:rRNA from 1 species
AUAAUUAACUAUAGGACAUGAAAUGUAGGGCUUCCUGUUCGCUUAGCUAUACUUAAGCUAUAUACCGGCUAAUUAAUAGUUAAGUAGGUGACUACUAGGAAUACUAGCUGUUAAUUAUU